rnacentral:misc_RNA from 1 species
UCCGGUUUAACACCGGCAGUCUUCUCAGAGUGCUCAACUUAAUGGUAGCAACUAAGAACAAGGGUUGCGCUCGUUGCGGGACUUAACCCAACAUCUUACGACACGAGCUGACGACAGCCAUGCAGCACCUAUCUCCUUGUCCCCGAAGGGAAAACGACAUCUCUGCCGUGAUCAAGGGAUGUUAAGCCCAGGUAAGGUUCUGCGCGUUGCUUCGAAUUAAACCACAUACUCCACCGCUUGUGCGGGCCCCCGUCAAUUCCUUUGAGUUUUAGUCUUGCGACCGUACUCCCCAGGCGGGAUACUUAAUGUGUGAACUGCGGUACCCAGAGGGUUAACACUCCGGACACCUAGUAUCCAUAGUUUACGGCGUGGACUAC